rnacentral:rRNA from 1 species
AUUGAACGCUGGCGGCAUGCCUUACACAUGCAAGUCGAACGGCAGCGGGGGAGAAGCUUGCUUUUCCUGCCGGCGAGUGGCGAACGGGUGAGUAAUACAUCGGAACGUGCCCUGUAGUGGGGGAUAACUAGUCGAAAGAUUAGCUAAUACCGCAUACGACCUGAGGGUGAAAGUGGGGGACCGCAAGGCCUCAUGCUAUAGGAGCGGCCGAUGUCUGAUUAGCUAGUUGGUGGGGUAAAGGCCUACCAAGGCGACGAUCAGUAGCUGGUCUGGGAUGACGGUCAGCCACACUGGGACUGGGACCCGGCCCAGACUCCUACGGGAGGCUGCAGUCGGGAAUCUUCCUCAAUGGGCGAAAGCCUGACGGAGCGACACCGCGUACAGGAUGAAGGCCUUCGGGUUGUAAACUGUCGUCACGCUAUAGGAACCACUCGGAGUUAACAGCUGCGAGUCUGACUAAAGCGAGAGGAAGCACCGGCUAACUCUGUGCCAGCCGCCGCCGUAACAC